UGCAGUCGAGCGAAUGGAUUAAGAGCUUGCUCUUAUGAAGUUAGCGGCGGACGGGUGAGUAACACGUGGGUAACCUGCCCAUAAGACUGGGAUAACUCCGGGAAACCGGGGCUAAUACCGGAUAACAUUUUGCACCGCAUGGUGCGAAAUUCAAAGGCGGCUUCGGCUGUCACUUAUGGAUGGACCCGCGUCGCAUUAGCUAGUUGGUGAGGUAACGGCUCACCAAGGCAACGAUGCGUAGCCGACCUGAGAGGGUGAUCGGCCACACUGGGACUGAGACACGGCCCAGACUCCUACGGGAGGCAGCAGUAGGGAAUCUUCCGCAAUGGACGAAAGUCUGACGGAGCAACGCCGCGUGAGUGAUGAAGGCUUUCGGGUCGUAAAACUCUGUUGUUAGGGAAGAACAAGUGCUAGUUGAAUAAGCUGGCACCUUGACGGUACCUAACCAGAAAGCCACGGCUAACUACGUGCCAGCAGCCGCGGUAAUACGUAGGUGGCAAGCGUUAUCCGGAAUUAUUGGGCGUAAAGCGCGCGCAGGUGGUUUCUUAAGUCUGAUGUGAAAGCCCACGGCUCAACCGUGGAGGGUCAUUGGAAACUGGGAGACUUGAGUGCAGAAGAGGAAAGUGGAAUUCCAUGUGUAGCGGUGAAAUGCGUAGAGAU
rnacentral:rRNA from 1 species